AGCAUUUCCAAACUUAUGUAAUGAUCUUACAACAUCAGGGUAAAAACAUUUGGCGACUUUUACAAACAGGUUUAUUGGAAUGACUGUUAGAAUAAACUAUACAUCAAUAUCAAGAUAUUCAACUGUACAUUCAUUCUACCUUAUAUAACGGCACUAUUGAAUGUAGUUUACUAUUGCUAAAAAAAUUAUAUCAAAAGUAGGCACGUAAAACAGACUUUCCCAUAAACAAUUGUAAAUAAAAUGACGUUUUCUUUUGCAAGGAGUCUUUAAAAAGUUGAAACUAGAGGAAAAGUAUGCACAAAAAAAAAAAAAAAAAUAAGCACGGUUAUAGCAAGAUUAUUUCAAUGAACAUAACAAUGGUAGGGUCAUUUUUCAGACAAUUAGUCUUAAAUGCAUUCAAACACAUAUAUGUCUAUAUAACUUUUUGUCUAUAUGCCUUUUUGUGUUUAUUUCUUACAUAUGACGUGUCUUUGUACUUAUACAUCCCAUCAUUGUAUUAUUGUGCCAUGAUUAAUGUUUGUUAAUAUAUUUGUUUGUUUUAUAGGGAUUAAGAUAAUAACACAAUGUUGACUGCUUUGUCUCUAUUUUUGACAUUUUUACCUGUUAUGUCUGUUUGUUUUGUUCACAAAUCGUUGUCAAUAUAAUGGAUUUUAAUACGACAGUCAAACAAGGGAGAGGUUUAGCUAGCUUUAAAACCAUUUUAAUCCACCAUUUUUCUAUAAAAAGAAAAUGCCUGUACCAAGUCAGGAAUAUGACAGUUGGUGUUUAUUGGUUUGGUAUGGUCACUAUUUUCUAUUGUACAUAAAUUACUAAUUAAAUUAAACUUCAUUAAUGUUCAAUUAUUGACUCUUUCUAUUAUCAAUUUCAGGAGAAUUUCCCAACUUGUGAAAUAAUCUCACAACAUCAGAAGAAAAAGUUUGGCGACUUUUAUAAACCGGUAAAUUCGAUGGACUGUUAGAAAAAAAGCAAUAUAUCAAGAUCAAGAUUAUCAACUGCACAUGCAAUCUGUCUAAUAUAACGGCACUAUCAAAUGUGGAUUAAUUUUGCUGAAAAACAAAUAAAAAAGGUAUGCACGUAAAACGGUCUUAUCCAAAAGCAAUUACAAAUAAAAUGAUGUUUUUUUUCUAUUGCAUGGACUGUCCUUAAAAAGUCGAAACAAGUGACAAAGUAUAAUAAAAAAGAAUAAGUAAACACUUUUAUCAAAAGACGCUUUCAACAAACAUCAUACACAUUUGGUAAAUACACAUCCAUACCCCUUAGGCAAUUCAAGAGAUGUUCCGAAAAGUGUAAUUAUACCCUUUUUGUACCUGGCCUAAUCACUAUUUCCAUAUAAACAUCAGUUAAAAUGAAAAAUCCAAAAGUUUUAUUUAGGCUCUCUUCUAUCAUUUCCAUCUGUUUUUUUUUAUUGCAUGGAGAUAUAAAAAAGAAGAUGUGGUAUGAUUGCCAAUGAGACAACUAUCCACAAAAGACCAAAAUGACACAGACAGUAACAACUAUAGGUCACCGUACGGCCUUCAACAAUGAGCAAAGCCCAUACCGCAUAGUCAGCUAUAAUAGGCCCCGAUGACAGUCUUUAAAAAGUCUUAUAUAUUAUAUAUAUGAUGACAUUGAGAAUAGAAAUGGUGAAUGCGCAAAAGAGACAGCAACUCGACAAAAGUGCAGAAAACAGCCGAAGGCCACCAAUGAAUCUUUAAUAUACCUCUAGUCAACAAACACAUAGCAAUACGCACAGUACUGAUCAUUUCAAAAGAAGUCGGAGUUCGAUGUCUGAACAAGUAACGUAGUAUAUGUAUUUGAUUUUCACGACAUCAAUCUCUGUAUUACUAAAAUAUAUUACACCAUGGUUUUCUGUAUCGCAAACUAGUCAUUACAUUCACUAAAUUGUAUCAACGGUACAAUGACACCAUUCGCCAAAAAAAAAAUACAAAUCAACACACGGACAUGUUAUAUGUUCAGAUCUACACAUCAAAUCUUAUUCUGUAACAGUAAUAUUCUAUAUAAAACACAAAUAUGUCGGCAUUCAUCUCAAAAGCUAACCACACAGGCUUAUUCAAAAGGGAUACAGUUACGAUAAUGUCCCUAAGGAUGGCAUAUUUUAGUAUAAAUAUUUAUUUACUCAUAGGGUUUUUGCAUUGUAAAUAAACAAAUUUAUUAUAAAACAAGUUGUUGGCAUCAAACGGGUUAUGUUCUUUUCACAUGUUUUAUGAUGAUAUCAUAAACAAAACCCUUAAUGAGAGAGAUUGUGCUAGAAAUUCAGUUGAGGAAGACAUUAUCUUUCAAUCAGAUUAAUUUAUGUCUGGAGCGGGCAUGUCAGUAAUUGAUAGUAGUCCGUUGUUAAUGUAUGUAUCAUUGUCAUUUUGCUUAGUUUUGAAAUCUAUUACGCCCGAGACCACAAUUAAUUCCUCUACCAAUUCUUUAUAACGUUUUGUCGCAUUAAAAACAAAUCUAUUUUUUUAUUUUCUGUGUGUGUGUGUAAUGUACAGUACGUCCAAAAAUAUAUCCAGUAUACAUCAUACACAUUUGGUAAAUACACAUCCAUACCCCUAUAGGUAAGUCAAGAGAUGUUCCGAAAAGUGUAAAUAUAACCUUUUUGCACCUGGCCUAAUCACUCUUUCCAUAUAAACAUCAGUUAAAAUGAAAAAUUCAAAAGUUUAUUUAAGCUCUCAUCUAUUAUUUCCACCCCAGAAAAACUAAGAAAUCUUUGAGGAAGGGAAAGAAAAAAAAUACACUAUUAUUAAAGGGAACUAUAUUCGUAGACAACGAAAUGGGGAUCAUUAAUUGUGGUUUUGGGCCAAUAAGAUAUCUGAGUUUUAAUGUGCAUGAUUUCGUGUCUAUGUAUAUUCUACAUUGUUUAGAGGUAUUAGAUGGUCUAACAAUACAUAUUUAUGUCUAAGUCAGGAGCCUCCGUCUUUUGUUAGUCUUGUUUAUGUUUUGUCAAUUUAAUUAAUUGUUUUCUUAUAUAUUGGACUUGUGUGUAACUUCUAUUUUACUGCAUACGCACAGAUGAUAAGGGGCCAGCUGCAUGAAGCCCACCUUCAGGCGCUGGAAUUUCACCCUGUGUUGAAGACCAAUUGGUGAUCUUGAGCUCUUGUUUGCCCUUUGAUCGGAUUGUUGCCUUUGUUACACGUUCCACAUUUCCAUUCUCAAUGUUAUCAUAAACAUUUAAGGAUAUUUGUCAUGUUCCAUGCACGUGUAUGUAUUCAGUCGUGUGCUCUGCGGGUAAACUAAUUAAUAAAAAUUCACAUCUUUUUGGUCAUUAUUGUACCUUUUAGUAUAUUUCUCAUGUUCAAAAUUAGGUGAUACACACAUAGUGCACACGUAUACAUAGUUAACAAGUUCUUCAAGAUGUUUUGCUUAAAACGAGGAAAAAGAAAAAGAAACCGUGAAUAAUUUUAAAAUAGUGUCGACAAUUUGAAUAUUUAAAACAAAUUUCAUUUCAUUCUAGAUCUACUCAUUAAAAAUUAAAAAAAAAUGAUGCAGUUUUGAUCAUCUUUUAAAAUUUUUAUAUUGCGAAGUAAUUUCAAUUCAAAAUGAAAAAUGCAUUUUUCAUUUUUCAACAUUUAAAGUCAAAUUGAAAAAUGCUUAAUGUAAUCAAUUUCAAUUUUUCGUCUGAAAUGAACUUAUAUUAUUUUUCUUUCUAAAACAAGCAUCUGCAAAUUAUUUGAUGUAUUCAAACUGUUGAAUUAUUAUCUUUUUUUAAUAUCCUUGUGAAAUCAAAAAUUGUAAUCCCAAAUUUCAAAUAACAUUAAGAAAAUGAUUUUUCAAAAGUCACUUCAAAAGAGUUUUGCAUCAUGUUUAAAGUGUGAAGAGCAAUUUGCUAUUUUUUUUUUCUGUUAAAAAUGCCAUUUGUUUGGCGUGAAUAUACACGAUCUUCUAUUGUACAUUGAUUACAUAAUACUACAUUUAUUUAGUAUUCAAUUAUUGACUAUUUUUUAUUAUUAAUUUCAGGAGAAUUUCUCAACUUGUGGAAUAAUCUCUAAACAGAAGAACAAAAACUUUCGGCGACUUUUACAAGGUUUGGACCCUACUUAAAAAAAAAACUUCAAGCCGAACAACAUACUGGUUUUUUUUUCAAGUAGAUCUCAGCUACCAAGCUUCCCUUUUCAUCUAGUACGGACAAAAGUCUUGUCGUAGAACUUUUUUUUAUUAACUUUUCUGUAAGGUGGGGUAGGGUGUUCGACCCCAACUGUGGAUCUAGUUUAACAAUAAAAAAAAAUAUCGAACAAUACCCUGGAUUUGUUUUCUCAAGUAGACCUCAGCUACCCUGCUUCCCUUUUGUGCAUCGUGCGGACAGAUGCAUUGCCGAAGAACAUUUGUUGAUCAACUUUUCUGUAAGGGUUGUAGAGGGUGUCAGACCCCUACGUUAGACAUACUUAGGAAAAAAAACUAAGCCGAAGAACAUCCUGAUUUUUUUCUCAGACAGACCUCAGCAACCUAGCUUCUCUCUGCACAUAGUGAGACAAAAGAGUUGCCGUAGAACAUUUUUUUGUAACAUGUGGGAACGAUAUCCGGUCCCAACUUUAGACAAAAUAAGCCGUAAAACACCCUUGAUUUUAUUCAAGUAGACUUUAGCUACCUAGAUUUAUUUUCAACCUAGUAGGGACAAAACAAUUGCCAUAGAAUAUUUGUUAGUAACUUUUCUGUAAGAGUUGGGAGCGAUGUCCUGUCCCAACUUUGGACCUACUUUACAAAAAAAAAAACUAAACCGUAACACACCAUGGAUUUUAACUCAAGUUGACCUCAGUUACCCAGCUUCCCUUUACACCUAUUGCGGACAAAAGUUUUGCCGUAUAACAUUUUAUAUUUACUUAUUACUUUUGAACAUAUUACAAUAAAGAAUACUAGUCUGCACUUAUUUCUCAACCCCCCCCCCCCCCAAAAAAAAAAAAAACAACCAAAAAACAUUACACCCCAUCUGACAGAUUUUCACAUUUUUUUCAUCUUACCAUUUUUACUUAAGGAGUGAACAAAACCCAAUUAUAUGAUGUUUCAAAUCAACACAGAAGUCAAACAUGGUGAUUCAGGAGGAAUUAUUGAAUUGCCAACUCUAUUUAUGGUUAAUCUGACUGAAAGAAACAGUUUAAGCACCAAA
rnacentral:lncRNA from 1 species